rnacentral:rRNA from 1 species
UGUAAAAUUUUAAAGGUCGAACAGACCUAAAAUUCUAGCUUCUACACCAAAAUUUAAUUUUAAUCCAACAUCGAGGUCGCAAACUUUUUUAUCGAUAAGAACUCUCCAAAAAAAAUUACGCUGUUAUCCCUAAGGUAAUUUAGUCUUGUAAUCCAAAAAUAAGGAUCAUAUAUUCAUAAAUCAAUGUUCUAAAACAAAAAAAGUUCAUCAAAUUUUUCCAUCGCCCCAACAAAAUACCUAUAUAAAAUUAAAAAAAUAAAUUCCUAAACUCAUAAAUUUAUAUAAAUAUAAAACUCUAUAGGGUCUUCUCGUCUUUAUAGAAAAUUUAAGCUUUUUCACUUAAAAUUGAAGUUCUAAAUCAUUUACACAGAGACAGUUAUUUUCUCAUCAAACCUUUCAUUCCAGCUUUCAAUUAAAAAACUAAUGAUUAUGCUACCUUUGCACAGUCAAAAUACUGCGGCCAUUCAAAAAUCAUUGGGCAGGCCAGACUUUAAAUCAAAAUCAAAAAGAC